rnacentral:rRNA from 1 species
ACUCCUACGGGAGGCAGCAGUGGGGAAUAUUGCACAAUGGGGGAAACCCUGAUGCAGCCAUGCCGCGUGUGUGAAGAAGGCCUUCGGGUUGUAAAGCACUUUCAGUAGGGAGGAAGGUAGUGUAGUUAACACCUGCAUUAUUUGACGUUACCUACAGAAGAAGCACCGGCUAACUCCGUGCCAGCAGCCGCGGUAAUACGGAGGGUGCGAGCGUUAUCCGGAAUUACUGGGCGUAAAGGGUGCGUAGGCGGUUUAUCAAGUCAGGGGUGAAAGGCUACGGCUCAACCGUAGUAAGCCUCUGAAACUGGUGAACUUGAGUGUAGGAGAGGAAAGUGGAAUUCCCAGUGUAGCGGUGAAAUGCGUAGAUAUUGGGAGGAACACCAGUGGCGAAGGCGACUUUCUGGACUAUAACUGACGCUGAGGCACGAAAGCGUGGGGAGCAAACAGUAUUAGAUACCCUGGUAGGCGUAGU